rnacentral:rRNA from 1 species
GACAGAGGGGGCAAGCGUUGCUCGGAAUUACUGGGCGUAAAGGGCGCGUAGGCGGGCUGGCAAGUCGGUCGUGAAAUCCCUCGGCUCAACCGAGGAACGUCGAUCGAUACUGCUGUUCUUGGGGAUUGCAGAGGAGACUGGAAUUCCCGGUGUAGCGGUGAAAUGCGCAGAUAUCGGGAGGAACACCAAUGGCGAAGGCAGCUCGCUGGGACGUGACUGACGCUGAGACGCGAAAGCGUGGGGAGCAAACAGG